rnacentral:rRNA from 1 species
AUUGAACGCUGGCGGCAGGCCUAACACAUGCAAGUCGAGCGGAUGAAGGGAGCUUGCUCCUGGAUUCAGCGGCGGACGGGUGAGUAAUGCCUAGGAAUCUGCCUGGUAGUGGGGGAUAACGUCCGGAAACGGGCGCUAAUACCGCAUACGUCCUGAGGGAGAAAGUGGGGGAUCUUCGGACCUCACGCUAUCAGAUGAGCCUAGGUCGGAUUAGCUAGUUGGUAGGGUAAAGGCCUACCAAGGCGACGAUCCGUAACUGGUCUGAGAGGAUGAUCAGUCACACUGGAACUGAGACACGGUCCAGACUCCUACGGGAGGCAGCAGUGGGGAAUAUUGGACAAUGGGCGAAAGCCUGAUGCAGCCAUGCCGCGUGUGUGAAGAAGGUCUUCGGAUUGUAAAGCACUUUAAGUUGGGAGGAAGGGCAGUAAGUUAAUACCUUGCUGUUUUGACGUUACCAACAGAAUAAGCACCGGCUAACUUCGUG